rnacentral:rRNA from 1 species
GGGGGGGGGGGGGGGGGGGGGGGGGGCAGGGGGGGCGGGGGGGGGGGCGGGGGGGGUGCGCCGCGGGCGUUGGCGGCGGGCGGGUGGGUAACGCGUGGAUAACCUACCUAUGAGACUGGGGUCACUUCGGGAAACCGGAGCUGAUCCCGGAUAAUCUAUUGAACCGCAUGGUUCACUAGUGAAAGACGGGUUUGCUGUCACUUAUAGAUGGAUCCGCGCCGCAUUAGCUAGUUGGUAAGGUCACGGCUUACCAAGGCAACGAUGCGUAGCCGACCUGAGAGGGUGAUCGGCCACACUGGAACUGAGACACGGUCCAGACUCCUACGGGAGGCAGCAGUAGGGAAUCUUCCGCAAUGGGCGAAAGCUUGACGGAGCAACGCCGCGUGAGUGAUGAAGGUCUUCGGAUCGUAAAACUCUGUUAUUAGGGAAGAACAAAUGUGUAAGUAACUAUGCACGUCUUGACGGUACCUUAUCAGAAAGCCACGGCUAACUACGUG